rnacentral:rRNA from 1 species
UACGGAGGGGGCGAGCGUUAUUCGGAAUUAUUGGGCGUAAAGGGCGCGUAGGCGGCUGGAUAAGUCAAAGGUGAAAUCCCUCGGCUCAACUGAGGAACUGCCUUUGAAACUGUUCGGCUUGAGGCCGGGAGGGGGUAGCGGAAUUCCCAGUGUAGCGGUGAAAUGCGUAGAUAUUGGGAGGAACACCAGUGGCGAAGGCGGCUACCUGGACCGGUUCUGACGCUGAGGCGCGAAAGCGUGGGUAGCAAACAGG